ensembl:lncRNA
CAGAGUGGGGAGCUGGGCUCUCUCGCACUUUAUGUAGCCCAUACAGAAACAGACCCUCCUAGGCGCGGAUGCCUUUCCCGUGGCUGCUCUGCUGUAUUGACCUGGCGGGGCACUGUUUUGGACCUGUGAGGCCAUGUACCACGGCUGCCUCCACAGCUGAGAACACCUAUGCUCAGCAGAGGAUUUAAAUUGUCUUUAGAGCUCUCAGGAUUUCAGAUCACGGCAACUCACAGCUGACCAGCCUCUGUCAGAGGGAUUUUGCUCAUCUCUCAAGCCUUCUCACAGGUGACACCCCUGGGGUGUCCCAGAAACAUUCUCUUCUCCUUGAAGAGCCAAUGAGAGAGGUGGACAGCAGGUAGGGAUGGACCCCAAAGCCAACUGCGCCCCACCAGCCCUCUUUCGAUGCCCGCCAGCCUCUGCUCUGGAAGUCUUGGCUCCUAAGGUGACACCUGGUUGUAGAAAGACUGAGUCCCUGGGAGUAAAAUCUGGGUGUUAGGCCUGCAGAUGCCGUAGCAACGUCGCGAGUCCACACUACAAAGACGCAGAGGACACUGGACCAUCAGACCACUAUACUGGGUAAGAGCAAUAACAUGGGUGGAAGGAGCCUUUUAGGAACUUCUGGAGGAAGCUGGUAUGAUUGUUUUGAGCAGGAAAAACUUCUAAAUUCUUCAAACAACAAAAUUAACUUCAAACCUCACAACAUAUUAGGCAAUCAUUCAUCACUUUGUGCUUAUGAAGCAGUCACAUGUAGGAUAAAAAACUUGGGAAAUACAACAAAAAUGUCAAGGAGAUGAUGGAAGUGCCCCGAAAUCCACCACUCGGAGACGACCACCCCACACACCACACCGUUUAGAAGCCCUGACCCUCUCCAGAAGGCUGGAACCUAACUGGUGUUCUUACUUAACAUUGCCCCAUGCACAUUUUCCGAUGUUUCUAAAAGUCUUAGGAAAUAGUUUAUACUGGUGGUGUAAGAUUUCAUCACUUGAUUUUCCAUUAUUUGUUUGAAGACAAAUGUUUGAUGACGGGUGUGGUGGUUAUUUCCC